AUCUCUUUCUUCCUCAGGCGCUCGCUCGCUCUGCUUUCCUCCAACUCUGCCUCGUCGUCAGGCAGGCAGACACAUCAGAUACCUGGUUUAUCCAUCUUCAGCUCCACUCUCGGCAUCACCCUGUCCUCCAAGUCCCCUCAUCCGGCUGCGAGGGGACCCUGGCCAGAGCUCCACCAGCAGGUCCUUCUUCCUCACUACGUAGACCAUCGAUGCCGGGUUCGGGUGCACCACGGAGAAGCCGAGGCCAGGAGACGGCAGGAGCAGCUCAGGUAACCAGGGGAAGCUUGGCGUGCCCACAGCGAUGCAGCCCUGGAGCUGUGAGUUAAGACGGUCUGGCUUCAGAAUUAAAAUUAAAAAAAAAAAAGGAAGGAAGGAAGGAAGGAACACAAAACAGCGCAGCUCGGUGCCUGCGGGGGUGGAAAAAACAGACACAAACCAUAAAAAAAAAGCAAGAGUUAAAAUCAAAUUUCAAAAAAAAAUAAUACAUAGAUCAGAGUACUUCAUGUGACUUUUAUUUCUGACGUUUCUCGGGUUACUGGCCUCCCCGCCCCCUCCAAAAUCUCUUCUGCCCCUGAACGCUACUGUCCAUGAGUGCCGAGUCACAAAGGCUUUUUGCUCCAAAGUGCUGCAGACCCAGCAUCACAUGAGAAGCCACAUGACAACUGCAGUCGGCUGCUGAUGUGGUCAACUGUGUUGCCGAGGCACGGGAGUAGGAGGGGAGACAAAUCUGAAGCGAGACAUGCCCCUCUCGUGCUGCCAGGAAGAGAUUUCCUUAAAAGAACAAUGAGGAAAAGGCAUCUCUGAAGAAAUGCUUGUGAAUGCCUACAGACUUUCCUAUACACACACUUACAUAGCCUAAAGAGACCAUGGGUGCUUCGAGACGUUCUGAGGAUGCUGUACCGCAGACACUAGCUGGAUGGCAGCAAGAUUAUUUCUAGUUUGUAUUCGUCAAAGCUGAUUCCACUUAAGUGGAUUCCUGAAAAGCACACACCAUGUCUUCAGAGCAUGA